UACGUAGGGGGCAAGCGUUGUCCGGAAUCAUUGGGCGUAAAGCGCGUGUAGGCGGCCCGGUAAGUCCGCUGUGAAAGUCCAGGGCUCAACCCUGGGAUGCCGGUGGAUACUGUCGGGCUCGAGUCCGGAAGAGGAGUGUGGAAUUCCUGGUGUAGCGGUGAAAUGCGCAGAUAUCAGGAGGAACACCAAUGGCGAAGGCAGCACUCUGGGACGUGACUGACGCUGAGA
rnacentral:rRNA from 1 species